rnacentral:tRNA from 1 species
GUAGUUAUAGUUUAAUUAAAACAUUAGAUUGUGGUUCUAAUAAGAGAAGUCUGCAGCUUCUUAUCUACA